AACUAGUUUAGAAACUUUGUGUGCUUUGGCACGACAAAUUUACAUUCAGGUCACACACACACACACACAUGCUGACAGAAAGAGAGAGAAACGGAGUGUGAGUGAGAGCUAGAAAAUUGACCUAGCCACAAAAUGUCCUUGCAUUAAAACGUAAUUCAAUGAAACUGUUUGAAAAUCGAAAUCAGUCAUGCAGUUACAAGUGCAGAACAGUUUCGGAAAACUAAUUACAGCAUUAGGUGAUUAGUUGAGAGGAGUUGAGGCCAAAGUUCUUCACAACAGGAAAGUUCAUCAAAGUCAAGCACAGACUGUAGCAAAUGCCAGGCCCAGGCACAGGACCAGGAGCAGAACCAGGACCAGGACGAGAAGUAUUCCUGUCUCUACAUGCCAAGGAAGUUGACACAUGUGACAGCUGUAUGAGGUGUAUCCGUUUUCAUACUCUUUUAAGAUGUCGAUUCGUUUGACUAUUUGACUGGCAAGCUUCCGUUUAAGUUUCCCGUUUCUCAUUUCCCAUUUUCUCAUAUUUAUGGAAAAUUUUGUUUAAACCAUACGUCUGUACACAUAUACAUGUAUAUUUAUAAGCCAAGUUAGUGCCAUAAAAAUACA